GAGGCUAGCUAGAUCUUUUGGGCGAGCGAUUUAGACGGCAACCAAAAAAGGAGGAGGAAGAAGGAAGAGAGAGAACCCACCAGCAAUCGCCGUCGCACCCAUCGCCAUCGCCGUCGCACCCGUCACCAUUGCCAUCGCCAUCUCAGAUUCAUUUGGUUGGGUGGGUUUCUUACGCAGCUUAAGGGCAAACCCAAUCCUAUUUAACUCAGAUAAUUAAAAUGAAGAAACCUCGAAGCACAAUCUCCACAUCAAGCAAAAUAAAGUUCGAAGAAUCCAAAUCUUCGUCUUCAUCCGAAGAUGAGGAGGAGAUAGAGCAGGAGCUCGCAGAUGUGACAUUUGGAGAACUGCAAAAGGCCCGCUCAAACGGGUCACAUUUAGUUCACCCAAAGCCCAAAGAAGAGAAGAAGGGUGGCCGGGCGAACAAGAACCGGCCAAUGGAGGUUAGUUGCAAGAAGCCUGUUACAAGAUUUCGAGAGAUCAUUCAAGGUUCGAAAAAGGUGGUACGUGACCCACGUUUUGAAUCUUUAUGUGGAACACUGGAUGUUGAUGGGUUUAGGAAGAGAUAUGACUUUCUAUUUGCAAACGAGCUUCCUGCCGAGAGAGAGGAACUGCAGAAGCAAGUGAAAAAAUCCAAGGACCCAGAAGUCACUGAAGAACUAAAGAAACACAUAUCUUGGAUCGAUAAACAGCUCAAAUCUGAGUCAGCCAAGCGCACUGAAGCUGCAAUACUGGCCGAGCACAAGCAAAAAGAGAGAGAAGCAGCAAAGCAAGGGAAGCAACCCUUUUUUCUUAAGAAAUCUGAGAUCCGAAAGAAACGACUUAUGGAAAAGUAUAAACAACUCAAGGGAUCUGGCAAGCUUGAAGCCUUCAUCGAGAAAAGGCGCAGGAAGAAUGCUGCAAAGGACCACAUUUACAUGCCAUACCGUAGGCCUGACAACACUGAGCAACAAAUUUAAUGACUUCACUUGGUUCUGGAGAAGCGGAGUAAAUUUUCUUAUUCACUGGGUGGCAUUGGAGACUACUGGGUAGUGGCAUGCCAACCCCAGAGCUCUGAUGAAGGUAGGAGCCUUGCUGCAGCUGGGAGAGGACUAAGGAAGAAGGAGAUGGUUGGGUGACGACAUUGUUUUCAAUUAUUUUUUUUUUAACUAUUUUUAAAUACAAGGAAUUAUUUAUUACUGUUUUGCCCAUAUAGUGUCCACGUCAUUAAAAAAAAAAAAGGAUCUCAUGUCUGACACAUCAGCAUUUAAUGGACUUAUUAAAGGUUUGUGUAACGGAGUGUGUAAAUUGUAAGGGUUUAAGUAUGUACUUGUAAAUAUCCUAAAGGUGGGUGUGAACGUGA